rnacentral:rRNA from 1 species
AUUGAACGCUGGCGGCAGGCUUAACACAUGCAAGUCGAACGGAGUGGCGGACGGGUGAGUAACGCGUAGGUAACUGCCUGGUAGCGGGGGAUAACUAUUGGAAACGAUAGCUAAUACCGCAUACUACCAGAUGGACCUGCGUUGUAUUAGCUAGUUGGUGGGGUAACGGCUCACCAAGGCAACGAUACAUAGCCGACCUGAGAGGGUGAUCGGCCACACUGGGACGGAGACACGGCCCAGACUCCUACGGGAGGCAGCAGUAGGGAAUCUUCGGCAAUGGACGGAAGUCUGACCGAGCAACGCCGCGUGAGUGAAGAAGGUUUUCGGAUCGUAAAGCUCUGUUGUAAGAGAAGCGGUAUCUUACCAGAAAGGGACGGCUAACUACGUGCCAGCCGCCGCGGUAAUAC